GUUCAUGACAGUACAUAUAUUAAAAUUGAAAUCAUACAAAGAAAAUUAAUAUGGCCUCUGCAUAAAGAUAAUACACCAAAUGCUGAAGCAUUCCACAUUUUC